UGGCCAGGUGAAACGUGGGCGUGUCUUUGGCCAGGUGCAAUGUGGGCGUGUCUUUGGCCAGGUGAAACGUGGGCGUGUCGUUGGCCAGGUGAAACGUGGGCGUGUC